rnacentral:rRNA from 1 species
AUUGAACGCUGGCGGCAGGCCUAACACAUGCAAGUCGAGCGGAUGAAGGGAGCUUGCUCCUGGAUUCAGCGGCGGACGGGUGAGUAAUGCCUAGGAAUCUGCCUGGUAGUGGGGGAUAACGUCCGGAAACGGGCGCUAAUACCGCAUACGUCCUGAGGGAGAAAGUGGGGGAUCUUCGGACCUCACGCUAUCAGAUGAGCCUAGGUCGGAUUAGCUAGUUGGUGGGGUAAAGGCCUACCAAGGCGACGAUCCGUAACUGGUCUGAGAGGAUGAUCAGUCACACUGGAACUGAGACACGGUCCAGACUCCUACGGGAGGCAGCAGUGGGGAAUAUUGGACAAUGGGCGAAAGCCUGAUCCAGCCAUGCCGCGUGUGUGAAGAAGGUCCGGAUUUUAAAGCACUUUAAGUUGGGAGGAAGGGCAGUAAGUUAAUACCUUGCUGUUUUGACGUUACCAACAGAAUAAGCACCGGCUAACUUCGUG